CUGUGUAAGAAACAAAGCAGGUGGAACGGAGGUGAGCUGGCCGGGGUAAACCCCUACAGGAAAGACGGGCAACAUACCCGGGAAAUAAAGUAUCUGUCUUUUUGUCCGUCCGUCUGUCUGCUUGUUUGUGUGAAUAAGCUGAAUAAGCGGGAUUUCUAACACAGAGAGCAGGAAGGCCCUUCCAACAACACCGUGAGCACAGGAAAUCAAGCCCUUCACCCCUCCCAGGGCCUUGCCCCAAGACUCAUCGCCAAGGUAACCGCCAGCACUCAGCUCCUCCCAGACAUCUUGGCAAGAUGCCGUUUCCUGGAAUUCUGAUUCCUGAGGGGAGUGUGUGGGAAGGGAACACAAAGGAAUACUGUCAGUCACUGCUGCCUGAUAAUAAUGGACGGUCUUGGAAUCUGAGGAUAUUUCAUCUCCAGCUCCGGACUGCAGUCCAACUCCAGCUCAUUACCCUCAGAGCUCUGGGAGAGGCUACGGAAGGAUGGAGGGGAUUCAAAGCAAGGGUCAUCAUCUGUGUCCUGCAUGUGGCAGAUGGAGGUUGAACUGGAACCAUUUGCUUUUCUGUUUCCGGUGGAGUGGGUGGAGGUACAGCUGACAGUCCUCUGAGGCUGCUUGUGUUGCUGCUCCUGUAAGCUGCCUGGUAGGGCUUCUGGCUGGGAUGUAACAGGGUCUGCUGCUGGAAGUCCAUGGUUAUUUUUGCUUUGUCUGGAGUUCUUUGCCUCUUGAGCAGGUGCUGGAUCAGUGUUAACAUCAGAGGGAUUACCAAAACAGUGGCCCAGAGAGGAGCAAGGUAGUCCAUGCAUGCUGGGGGAUUCAGAUAUGACCAAAAGAAACAGUAAAAUAAAUUCUAAUUGCACUGACAUCAGGUGGAUGUGGGGUUGCCCAAUUUGUGGAACAACAUCAGACAGUCAGUUUAGCUUCUUGUGCAUCACCAGAUACUGGAAUAUAGUACAAACAAUAACCAAUAAGGAAUAUACAUGACUUCCUUUAAGUAGUACCAUAUAAGAAAAGGCCAACCAUUUCCACACUUGACAAGUGACGUAUGAAAUAAAACCAUCUCUUCAUCCAGGGAAUACGUUCAGUUUGAUCCAUGGCAGCAGGUAUCCUCAAUAGUUGUCCUCGCUGUCUGCAUGUCUUCUUGUUACAUCAUAUCAGUGGAUCUUCAGUUUAUCCCAGACUUAACCUACACAUUCUGGACUGUGUUGACCGUCUCUCAGUCAGUAGGUCAACCUUUCCUCACAUCAUUUAUUCUCUUUUUCGUUCUCAGAAAAUAGAUUUCCAGCUGGGUUGCCUCUAAAGUAGGUUCAAUCGGUCAUUUACUGGUGAGGGUCCCUCCUUCUUCAGCCCAUGAGCAUGGCUUCUUGUUGGCCUUCCAGACAACCUAUGCAUGUCUAAGCGUCGCAGGGCUUUUUUGUGUGUGUGAGUUGCAGUGUGCUGGUGGUAGGUGUCUCAUUACCAGGUAGUCCCUGGUCUGUUGUGAGCUUGGAGGCAGGGGCUGGGCCACAGGGACUCUGGUUACCAUCUGAUUCAGGAUCAGUUACCAAUAUGCUUGCCCUACACUUCACCACUAUUAAUUAAUGAACUCAUCUGAUCACAGAGCAGUGACCAAGAGUGUAAAGGUUAUUGGAGUGUUACAGACGGCUGAAUGAGAGUUCAAGUUACAGGCAAACGCCAUAAGAGAUAGGCCUCAGAGGAAGAGAAAGGAGGGAGAGAGAGAGACCCGAAGUCCCUCCUCCCAGGAUGAGCCAGACAGGAGAAAGCUAGUGGAUGACUGGCACUUAAAUAUUCAUGCAGUCGCAUAAAGAAUCUUGCAUCAAUAGUUUAUUCUGACUGGUGAACUGGUGAAUAUGUAUUUUUCAUAACACAAUAUGAAGCAGAGAUCAUAUUAUUGGUCAUUUAACCAGUAUAGCAGACACUAUUUUGAUGCCGAUUUAAACUUUAGAGGCUAAAAUGUUUGAAAAUGCCAUCAUAUAUACCAGUGAAACACAGCUGAUAUUCUGGGAGUAGGUCAGGUAAAAUAACCAAUGAGGAAACUCUUAUCUCCAUUGCAAACACAGAGUUCAUCAUCUAACCUUCAUCAGGGGUUAAAUAGCUCGCCAUGGAUGACUAAUAUGUAGUACAACAGUGCAACUGAUGACAGUCCCAUAUUUCAAUGAAAUUAAAGAUGCUUUUCAAUGCGUAGGGAAUUUAAAUACCAUGAACAACUGGCCUUAAAGAUGAAUUACAGGUGUGCUUUUAGUCCAAUUCUAAACCAGAUCGCAAGUUCAAAUGAUUAGGCAUCUUAAUGAUAAUGCAGAGCUGACUAAGAUUACAACAACAUGCUAUCGGCAGGAUUUACUGCCAGGUUUUCUAUAAAAAAUCAGUACCUGAAAGGGAAAAUUCUAUAACAUGAGCUGAAAUAUUAAGCAAUAAGCAUCCUUCCUGACAUAUCAACGAAGGGAAAUCGUUCCAGGAUCUGCUCAACGGGCAGCUGCUGUGAGAACACACUUUAAUGCAGAAUGUCAUAAAUUAUCCAGUUGAACUCUGCAGGAAAGCAGGUAGUUGAGAGGGGUGGACUGAUGCAAGACUGUUAGAAACUUACAAAGGCAGGAUUUAUUGUAAGGCUGUUGUGACUCCAUGAGUGACAAAAAAUGGCAAAUGAGUGUAACCAUCACAUGUGAAAACUGGCUUCAUCUCCACCUCCCUCGUGUAGACCUGGAAGAUCCAUUUCCAGUGUUUGAGCUUCCAAAUUUAGUUUUGGGAUAUCUAGUUCUUUAUAGGGAACUUUGUAGUCAAGAUGGAGAACUUGAAAUAGAUUUCAAAAUUAGGAACUGUUCUAAAUUUCCUCUGUCAUACACUGAUGUUGUGACCACCAGGCAUCUUCUCCUGAACAGUGAUCUGUUCCAGGUGGCUGGGAAGUGUGUGAUACACACUUUCAUGCUCUGGUAAAUGCAGUCUUGGAGUUGUGGAUGUGCUGUUCAAGGACACACCAAAAGAGAACAAUCACCUUACAAUGUUACUGAGCAGAGACAGAUUCAUGUCUGUAUGCAUUGAAAAAUGCAUUUAAUUAAUAUACUGGUGGACCUACUUUCAGGGUCUCUGUAGGCCCUUGGGUAUUAACAAAACAUAUUCUUCCAAGCAUUUAUUUAGUUAAGACUAUAACAUGCUUUAUAGACCUAAUUCCUUCCACAUUAUAGCCCCUUGCGUAAACAAAGCCAACAAUUUGCAUUUUUCCUCUGUCUCUCAUCACAGUAUAACAAACAA